CAUCGCCUGAGGAGAGGCGCCCGGCCUGGGCCCGGCUGGGGCACCGGGCUAAGGAACCGCGGCUGCCCUGAACUGGCGGAAGCUCGGGGGUCUGAAUCUUUAUAUUUUGAGGGGGAUUUUGGUUCAGUCUAGCUGUUUGGGAUGUGUUACCAAUGACGGGUCCUGAAGAUGCCACAACAUUACAACAUCAUGCUGAUGGAGUUUUCUCGGCGACGCUCGUUGGUCACGGGGUGGUGUGAGAGUCCGUCUGAAAGCCUCUCGUUUGCUCUGCCCAACGACCCUCGCCUGAGGCCUAAAAAGACCCCUCAAACUGCAGUUUAAAGGCGCUGGCCAGGGAUGGGAGGAACACCAGGCCAUUGUUCGCAGGUGGUGCCCAUCGGACCAGGACUGGUUUCUCAGGAGACUGGUUUAUGGAUAGUCACGGUGCACUGAACUGUGUUUAGUCAACAAGGCUCCCACAGGUGCGAGAACAAUGAACUGGUCAGAGAUGGAGUGCCCUGUGUUUGUUUCAUCGACAAGGACUCGCUUGGGCUUGUUGUGGGUUUGUUCCCCCCACGGAACCCAAAGCGUCCCUGAAAGUUCUCACCUGUUUGGCCAGUCGCCCGACACCUUGGAAAAGACUAUAAAAGAUACUCUCAAACUAAAGACCCCCGAGAUCUCCCUGGAUGGCAACGGACAUCUAUUGGCUGGUUCCACGAGGAUCGUCUGCCCGUCUUGGUAGCUAUAAUCCCAACCCCUCUUCCUUUCUCUCUCUCUCUCUCUCUCUCUGUCCCUCUAUCGCAUUUGGUUGACACUAAAUAAAGGUGCAUUUUUGCAAAAGUAAACUGGUUUUGUCCCCCGCUGUGUCUUUUGCGCUUUGAGAUCCCUAGAAGAACCUAUCAGGACUCCGCAUGUGGUGUGGACCCUGACAGGUGUGUAUGCAUGUAUACUAACUUUUCCUAAGAAGUUAGGACGGGGUACCAUGCAGGCUGUGUGUCUACCCUUUCUGAAAUAAGGGGUGAAAACUGCAUAGGGUGUGUAUACAUGUGUACUAACCUUUCCUAAUGUCCAAGUUUAGGACAAAAUUGGGGGAAAACUUCCAAAGGAGCCCCCCAGAAAAUAACCCCCCCCACAAUUCCUCCCCCCCACCAGGCUCAGAAAGGAUUUUCUCAGGGGGGAAAAGUGGAAAAAACCUAUUUAUUAACGAACACAAAAAACCACUCCCCAGCACAAGGAAAAUACAAUCUCAGAUGACAAAAAUGUGUUCACCAAAGUGAGUGAGGAUGGACGAGCUCAGACAGUCACUGCUGGGAAGGGCAAAAAAGUUUCUUUGGCAGACUCCAGAGGCAGUCUCUGAUGUUCAGGUCCCCAUCUGGAGCCGGUACAGAUCUUCAAGAUGAGGGGAAGAAGGGAGGGGAGAAA